rnacentral:lncRNA from 1 species
CGGUGGACCCGUAUGCGAAAAAUGAAGCGUUUAAUAUCAACAACGGGGAUGUGUUCAAGUGGAAGCAUUUCUGGAAGGUGCUGGCGGAGCAGUUUGGGAUAGAGGAGUACGGGAUUGAUGAGGGAGGCCGGAGGCUGAGCUUGGUGGAGCUGAUGAAGGGGAAGGAGAAGGUGUGGGAGGAGAUAGUGAGGGAGAACGAGCUGCAGCCGACGAAGCUGGCGGAGGUGGGAGUGUGGUGGUUUGUGGAUGUUUGGUUGAGCGGAGAAGGGUUGUUGUGCAGCAUGAACAAGAGUAAGGAGCAUGGGUUUUUGGGGUUUAAUUCCAGGAAUUCGUUUGUUACUUGGAUUGAUAAGAUGAAGGCUUUCCAGAUUGUGCCGUGAUCGACUGAUGACUGUUUUGAAAUAAUUUUGUCCUCAAUGUGUUGAUGGUGGUGUUUGGGUUAUGGAGAGAUUUUGUUGUGGUUUUUCUUGCCCUUGUUCUACUUGAAAUUCACAAUAAAUUAUACAAAGUUACUUUGUUGAAUGUGCUAUCGAGCUUCAUCAUCUUUUUCUCCUCAAGUUUUUUUAGAUGGUUUUCUAGCCUUUGGAUUGCAUAAAUUAAGCUACACGUAUAUUUUUUGAUUCAAUCAGAUUCAUUAGUUAGUAGAGCUAUUCACUUGAUCGUAGACAUUUCUGAAACAUGCUAGAAGGACAACAGUAAAAAGGAACCAAAAAAAAAAAAAAAGAAUAGUGAAAAUGACUACCAAUUCCAAAAUUUUACCCCAUUUUGUUUAGACUUUUUAGUUAUAAUGAUCACUGAGAUUUGCAUAAUUCGUUACCUUGUUCCAUGAUAUUUGAAAUGAAUAGAAAUAAUCCUGAGUUUGUCUAUUAUUAAUUAUUUUGAUCAUUCUAUGAAAAAUCUCUAUUAAAUAAAGCUAAAAUGACAAAAAAUACUUUCAAUUUUUGUCAAAUCAUUUGGCCAUUGUUUAUUAAAUUGAUGAUAUUUUUGUUAUUUUGAUCCUUAUUUAAUAUAAUUUUAUACGGAAUGAUCAAAAUAAUUAAUGGUGAACAAGCUCAGGACCAUUUCUAUUGAUUUCAAAUUUCAAGGACCAAAGUGAUGAGUUAUACAAAUCUUAGGGAUCAUUUUUAACUAAAAAGCUUUUUGUUUAAGAAAUGGAAUUGCUAGAGGUUUCUUUUCCGCUCUCUUUUCUCAUCAUUUAUUAUACAUUUCUGAAUGCUUCUAAUUCUGAAGUUACCAAACACAAACGGAAGCAAUCUACCAUUCAAAAGCCUCAUUUCUCAAAGACAAACGUAGAUCUAUCAAUGUAGCCCAAAUGGACCCAAAUUCUAAUCCAAAUCUAACGUAAUUAGUAGGAGUCGAUUUUAGGUUCUUAAUCAACUAAUUUGAUCACGAUUUGAAUCACAUAACCCAUUAGCUUAACGAACCUUGUUGACACGGAAACCAUAGUGGGUCGGUCAAAGAAGGUCAAAAAAAUGAUUGGAUUAAAGCCUAAGGUCUAACCAAGUGAAGAACCAAACGUAGGCCCAAUGAGCCCAAAAUCCUAGGCAGGGAUCGAUCACCCAUGGCCCAAUUGUCGCGGGAAGUUGGUUGAUACGCCUCUGUGCCACCAACUUUACCACGUCGCCUACCAACAACUUGCGUGUAAAGAAGAAUUUACAUCAGCUUUCACGUAUCGACCCAUUCGACCAAGGUGAUUCCUAUUUUAUUAACAAAGAGACAUAAGACUUUGCCGAAAAAAAAACAAAAAACAUAGAGACAGACGAUAGGGAGGCAAUGACAUGCCCGCACAAUUAUUGAUCCCGCUACGAAAUUAUUUUUAUAAAUGAUAUAUUACGUGUUUUUAUAUAAAUUAUGUAUUUUUUAAAUUAUUAACAUUUUAGAAAAUUAUUAUUAAUAUUUUAAAAUUUUCAUUUUACAUUACUCAAAAGCGUAUUUUUUUCUUCUAAUUAUAAAAAAUUUGAAGUGCAAAAUAAGAUUUUUAGAGUAAUAAUAAUAAUUUCUAUUUUUUUAAUACAUAUAUUAUAUUAUUUAUAUAGUAACACGUAUAACUCUGUAAAAAAAUAUCUAAAAGGAAAAUUUGGACCCGCAAUUUCCAGGAGGUGGUGUACUAGAGACUAACAGUUACACUCUCGGCUGGCAUUCAUUCCUCAGCUUUCCACUCCAAAACCAUAAUCCCCAAUUCUUUCAUCCAUCCAAUCUCAUCGUCUUCUCUCUCACCACUCCAAAUCCAAAUCCAUGAGCUGGUGGUGGGCCGGAGCUGUUGGCGCCGCCAAGGCAAUUACAAUCUCAACUACUCCGUUGAUCCUUUCAAUUUUUCAAUUUUUGCUUAAUUAACGUUUUAAUUUUGAUUUUUGCAGAAAAAAGCCGAUGAAGACGAACAGCCGCGAGCUCCCGAGAGCGUGGGACUCGUGAUCGGCGUCACCGGCAUAGUCGGCAAUAGCCUCGCCGAAAUCCUCCCUCUCUCGGACACACCCGGCGGCCCAUGGAAGGUCUAUGGCGUUGCGCGCCGUCCCCGCCCGAACUGGAGCGCCGACCACCCUAUCGAGUACGUCCAGUGCGACGUCUCCGAUCCCGAAGAUGCCAAAACCAAGCUCUCUCCGUUAACGGACGUAACGCACAUCUUCUACGUCACAUGGGCCAACCGAUCCACCGAGGUGGAGAACUGCGAGGUUAACGGCAAUAUGCUGCGCAACGUUUUGGAAUCCGUCAUCCCGAACGCGCCCAAUCUCCGCCACAUCUGCCUCCAGACCGGUGGCAAACACUACCUCGGACCGUUCGAGUCGUUUGGCAAGAUCCAGCCGCACGAUCCGCCGUUUACGGAGGACCUGCCUCGACUGGAUACCCCGAAUUUCUAUUACACGCAGGAGGACCUUUUGUUUGCUGAGGUGGAGAAGAAAGAGGAUCUGACUUGGUCGGUGCACCGGCCCGAUAUGAUUUUCGGGUUUUCCCCUUACAGCAUGAUGAAUAUUGUCGGCACGCUCUGCGUCUACGCCGCGAUAUGCAAGCACGAGGGGCUGCCGCUGAGGUUUCCGGGAAGCAAAGCGGCGUGGAAUUCGUACUCGGUGGCUUCGGAUGCUGAUCUGAUAGCGGAGCAUCACAUAUGGGCGGCGGUGGACCCGUAUGCGAAAAACGAAGCGUUUAACAUCAACAACGGGGAUGUGUUUAAGUGGAAGCAUUUCUGGAAGGUGCUGGCGGAGCAGUUUGGGAUAGAGGAGUACGGGAUUGAUGAGGGAGGCGGGAGGCUGAGGUUGGCGGAGCGGAUGA